UUUCUGGGUCUCUCUGACGGUGAACGGCGAAUCAUGGGGAGCAAACARGAUUARAUUUACCCGGWCGGGCUCCCAAUAAAACACGGUCGAAGGUGUCCCCUGGGAUCSCGACGUUUMAUKGUGCAUCCARCUWUUUCGGGGAAACUUUGGGGCGAAUGUACCAUUCAACAUCAGACAAUCCCGAGGGAAGUGCUUUGAUCUCGGAUCGAGAGCACCCCGUAGAGACUAUGGAGAUGGGGAAAUAGAAGAUAUAAAAAAAAUAGGCAAAGGCUCUUAAAGCUAGAGCAUCGGAGCUGAGAAAGCAAGGCUUUUUUCCUUAGGCAAAGCCCAAGCUCCUAACCUGCACUUGAAAAGACUUAAGCAAAUAUCUUUGUCGGAUUUAAUGAAAUCAAUUAUAUUAGGACAACUCCUGGGAGAUGGCAAGGUUCUCCGUUCGUCAUAGCCGAAUGAAGGCCGAAGGCCUUUUGGUGGUAGGCUCACUGCAUGAAAUCUCGGCACCAAGUUCCGUGCAGGAGCAAGCCACCGAUGGCUUUAGCCAGAACAAGCAGCUACUGAUGACUUUGACAAAGAAUAUGUCAAGCUUUUAUUUAGCCCGAGACUUAGACAUUUUCUGGAAGGUUUACGGCCCUAUCCGGAAAAAUUGCAAGUACGCUAAUUAAAGCCAAGGGUCUUACUACCACCGCCUUUGGUCCGGUAUUGAGGGCGCAGCAGAGACUGCUUCGAAUGAUCUUACCACAUGGUCUUGUGGCGAGCAUACUCAGGAAAGCCUUAUUAUUGGUUUACAAAGAUCCUGAAAUUCAACAACGCUGGAUCUCUGAAAUGAAGAAAGCUCUGCCUCUUUUUUCGAAGUGCAUUGAGGGUUAGCCAAUAAAAAAAGAGAGCAACUGCAAAGAUUGAAGUUCAGAGAAUGAUAUAGUCCAUUUKAGAGAUAGUCAUCUCGUGGGGAUCGGGAWGGGCCUAAUAAUUUUCCAUCAACACCUCGAGAAGCAACUAAUCC
rnacentral:rRNA from 1 species